rnacentral:misc_RNA from 1 species
AAAAAACCCAUGCAUGACAAACAUUUAACUCACCUAUAGAUCUGAAGAAGGCUUGUGAAAACAGUGAAAUGUGCAAAUGAAGAUGAAUAUACAUGAAUAGAUUAUCUAUUUUUUUGACACCAUUGAGUUCUGAUGUUUUCAAUGAUCUGAAACUUAUCUUUUUAUUCAUCGUUCUUUAGUUUUGCAAAUGACUAUUUGAUUUAUAAAAUGCAUUGUUCGCUUUUCAUCUCAUGCUAGGUGCUGUCAAUUGUUAGGAAUGGAAGAACAUUCGGCAUUACAACAGCUUAAUAUAAAUUCUUUUUGUAGUGUCUUUAUUAAUACUGAUUUCUUUGUUUUUUGUGUGAAUUUAUAUUCUGUGAAAUUGAAAUCUCUUAAGAAUUUAAAUUGCUGUCUCAAAUUUCAUCUUUUAUCUUAAAUUCUUUUCAAUGUAAAUUUUUAUUGUUGUCAUACAUCAUAUCAGAAUUUUUGUAGUGUUUCCUCAAAAGUGUUAUAUGUGAAUUCUUCCAUCAUUACAUGUUCCAAUGUUUAAUGCACACACUAAAAUGGUUCAUGUCUCUCUUUGCUCAUUUGAAGUUUUUUGAAAAUUAAUUCAGAACAUUCCAUGAACUAAGUACUGACAACAAGGUUUCAUCUGCCAGUUUCCCCCUAAUUUUUUUUUUCAUUGAUCCGUGAUUUACAUUGUAGGUUCUUGAGACUGCUUUACGGUCCUUUUGGGGUUGUGUCUGUUGUAUUUUAUUUAUUGGAUAAAUUUAGUCCUGUUAUCAUUAGACAUGUGUUUUUUGUCUUGUCACAGUUUUAAGAUAUACUGACAUCCAUGUACGUGUUGUGCUACAGUGUAUAAGAUAAUUAUUACAGUUGUUAGAUAUUUGAAGACCGUUGCAGUUUUGUCAAAACAUUUCCGUCCAGGUCAUAUUUUAAAAAAGAAGACUUGUUUUUGGUCUUGAAAUUGAAUAAAUUGUUUUAAUGC